AAAGUAUAGGUGAUAGAAAUUUAUUCUGGCGCCAUAGAGAUAGUACCGCAAGGGAAAGAUGAAAAAAAAAAAUUAAGUACAAAAUAGCAAGGACUAACCCCUAUACCUUCUGCAUAAUGAGUUAGCUAGAGAUCACUUCGCAAAGAGAACUAAAGUCAAGUACCCCGAAACCACGCGAGCUACCCAAAAACAGCUGAAAGAGCGCACCCGUCUAUGUAGCAAAAUAGUGGGAAGAUUUCUGGGUAGGGGUGAUACACCUAUCGAGUCUGGAGAUAGCUGGUUAUCCAAGAUAGAAUCUUAGUUCAACCUUAAGCUUACCCACAGAACCACUAAUCCCCCUGUAAACUUAAUUGUUAGUCUAAAGAGGGACAGCUCUUUAGACACUAGGAAAAAACCUUAUAUAGAGAGUAAAAAAUUCUAAAUCCAUAGUUGGCCCAAAAGCAGCCAUCAAUUAAGAAAGCGUUCAAGCUCAACACUAACUACCUAAAAAAUACCAGACACCUUACUGAACUCCUUACAUCACAUUGGAUUAAUCUAUCGUUUUAUAGAAGCAAUAAUGCUAGUAUUAGUAACAUGAAUAAAUUCUCCUAUGCAUAAGCCUAAAUCAGACCGAAAACUUCACUGAUAUUUAACAGCUUAAUUCUAAUAAUUACAACCAAGCUAGUAUUAUAUAAACUGUUAACCCAACACAGGCGUGCUUCUGAAGGAAAGGUUAAAAUAAGUAAAAGGAACUCGGCAAACUUAACCCCGCCUGUUUACCAAAAACAUCACCUCUAGCAUUACUAGUAUUAGAGGCACUGCCUGCCCAGUGACAUCUGUUUAACGGCCGCGGUACCCUGACCGUGCAAAGGUAGCAUAAUCACUUGUUCUUUAAAUAGGGACUUGUAUGAAUGGCAACACGAGGGUUUAACUGUCUCUUACUUUCAACCAGUGAAAUUGACCUGCCCGUGAAGAGGCGGGCAUAUAACAAUAAGACGAGAAGACCCUGUGGAGCUUCAAUCUACUAAUGCAACCAAGAUUAAUAAAAACCCACGGGCCUAAUAUAAUCCACCCCUGCAUUAGAAAUUUUGGUUGGGGUGACCUCGGAGCAUAAUUAAACCUCCGAGUUAAAUCACGCCAAGACUACACAAGUCAAAGCAACUUAAUAUUUAUAAUUGAUCCAAUAACUUGACCAACGGAACAAGUUACCCCAGGGAUCGACAAUAGGGUUUACGA
rnacentral:rRNA from 1 species